rnacentral:rRNA from 1 species
AACGAACGCCGGCGGCAGGCUUAACACAUGCAAGUCGAGCGGGGUGAUGGUGCUUGCACUAUCACUUAGCGGCGGACGGGUGAGUAAUGCUUAGGAAUCUGCCUAUUAGUGGGGGACAACAUCUCGAAAGGGAUGCUAAUACCGCAUACGUCCUACGGGAGAAAGCAGGGGAUCACUUGUGACCUUGCGCUAAUAGAUGAGCCUAAGUCGGAUUAGCUAGUUGGUGGGGUAAAGGCCUACCAAGGCAACGAUCUGUAGCGGGUCUGAGAGGAUGAUCCGCCACACUGGGACUGAGACACGGCCCAGACUCCUACGGGAGGCAGCAGUGGGGAAUAUUGGACAAUGGGGGGAACCCUGAUCCAGCCAUGCCGCGUGUGUGAAGAAGGCCUUAUGGUUGUAAAGCACUUUAAGCGAGGAGGAGGCUCUUUUGGUUAAUACCCAAGAUGAGUGGACGUUACUCGCAGAAUAAGCACCGGCUAACUCUGUGCCAGCAGCCGCAGUAA